UGGAGUAUAGCUCAGUUGGUUAGAGCACACCCCUGAUAAGGGUGAGGUCGAUGGUUCAAGUCCAUUUACUCCAACCA
rnacentral:tRNA from 1 species